rnacentral:piRNA from 1 species
UCAUCAUUGUUUCUGCCUUGGCCAUGUGU